rnacentral:rRNA from 1 species
AGCAGCCGCGGUAAUUCCAGCUCCAAUAGCGUAUAUUAAAGUUGUUGCAGUUAAAAAGCUCGUAGUUGAAUUUCGGGGUCAGUAGAUUGGUCGUGCCUCUGGUACGUACUGGUCUUACUGGCUCCUCCUUCCUGAUGAACCGUAAUGCCAUUAAUUUGGUGUUGCGGGGAGACUGGACUGUUACUUUGAAAAAUUAGAGUGUUUAAAGCAGGCUAACGCUUGAAUACAUUAGCAUGGAAUAAUGAAAUAGGACGUUCGAUCUUAUUUUGUUGGUUUCUAGGAUUGACGUAAUGAUUAAUAGGGAUAGUUGGGGGCAUUAGUAUUCAAUUGUCAGAGGUGAAAUUCUUGGAUUUACUGAAGACUAACUACUGCGAAAGCAUUUGCCAAGGAUGUUUUCAUUAAUCAAGAACGAAAGUUAGGGGAUCGAAGACGAUCAGAUAC